GCCCCGCUCGCACCCGCCAACCAACGGCGCGCCGAGGUCGGCUCCUAUGCAAAUCUGCAGAGGCUUCAGCAUUCAUUGAGAAAAGCACAGAGCACGCCCCGCCCUUCCUCUAUGCCUCUCCCCUCUCUCCUUCCUUCCCCUCCUCCAGAUUCCCUGCCCUAUUUCUCUGCUGUGUGAACAGGAGCCUGUUUUGGAUAAAUGUGAGGACCGGAAGAGGCCUUUGUAAUCAACCACUCUUUCUAACUAUGCACUUAAGAGAUUAAACAGAUUACAAAUGGAAUGGCUCAGUGAGGGUAACUUCCCAACAAGAAGACUACACAGGUGACAAGAUCUGUUACAUGAUUUGGACCUGGAUAUCUGACUAAGAAGUCCAUGCUCUCAAACCCUGGAGAACCUCAUAAGACAGAAAAUGGAGGGGAUGGAAUAGGCUGAGAUGGACAGAGGUGAACAGAGGAAGAAACCGAAAGCCUGACUCAAAAAGAGACAGACAGAGGAUGGGAAUGGCAGGGAGAACAGACAGGAGAUACUGGGAGCCCCGAGGAGACAGUUAAUGAGGUGAGCUGCUCCAGGUCACCUUGCCAAUGACUUCGGCAGUUAAGUUGAGGAGGGAGGAAAGUGAAAAGACCAGGUACCAAGAGAGGAAAGGGCCAAGCUGGACACUGAGAGUAGCAAGACCCUCCUCAGGAAAUUCCCCACUUCUGGAAAUGGAGAUGUGGACAACUCAGUUAAGGAGAGGUUUGAAUUCUCUAUAAGGGAAGCAGUAAUAAAGACAGCAUUUCAAAUCCAAGAAGUAAUGACUUAAGGCAAAACACACCUCAGAACUGCAAAAUCUGACUGAGACCUACAGGGUUAAUUAAGUCAGGCAUUCAGCUGGUCAAGAAAAAGGAGGAGGAGGAGGAGGAAAGAGAGAGAAAGAGGGAAAGAGGAAGAGGAGCAGGAGGAAGAGGAAGGAGAAGGAGGAAGAGAAAAAUCAGUAAAGUCAAGCUGAAGCAAGGCAAGAGAAGAUACUUACUGCUACGACAUUGGAAACCCAUAACCAGUGUAGCUUACACUGGGCCAAGAGCAGGAAUUGGG
rnacentral:lncRNA from 1 species